AAUGCACCAAUUUGUAAGUCGCUCUGGAUAAGAGCAUCUGCUAAAUGAGUUAUU
rfam:Salmo salar isolate Sally breed double haploid chromosome ssa12, whole genome shotgun sequence.